rnacentral:lncRNA from 1 species
GCAAAGUUGGGAGGGGUGGAACCAUGAGUUCCAGACACACAGACAAGGCAGACCAUCACAAACACAAACACGUGGGCAGCUGCAGGGCCACAGUGUCCACUCCUGCUGCUCCAACAUCUCUGCGGCAGGACAGUCAGCUGGUGACACUGGCGAGAGAAGGCACUGGGACUGCUGGUGGUGACAGCCUUCUCUUGGGCUGAUGCUCAGUGGCCUGAGGAUUUACCGUGAGCGAGCCCAGAGUGUGUCUGCAGACUGGCGCCGAGGAGGCAAGGGCGUGGGAAGGCUCAACCUGGCCAGCGGCAGAGUACCAGGAAGUCUGCACGAACUCACUGCUGCUCACCUGAGGAACACGGGGUGGGGAGAAGCAGAAUGCCUACUCAAGAAUGUAGAAUGAUAGACAAACUGGACAACAUCAUCAGGACAGCACCAGUCAAUGGACAUCUGCAGAGAGCAGAGGAUCGACACAGUCUCAAAUCAUCUUCCUUCAAAUUACUUCUUAAUUACAAAAGGAAAAUACAUUUGACCCUUGGACAACACAGGUUUGAACCAUUCGGGUCCAGUAAUAAGCAUAGUUUUUUCAACCAGAUGCAGGUGGAAAAUAGAGUCUUGGUGGUAUUUGAAACCUGUGUAUAUGAAAGGCCAACUUUUUGUAAAUUUGGGUUCCAAGGGCUGACUGCAGGACUGAGUAUGAGCGGAUUAGGGUACAUGGAGGGGGUCCUGGAACCAAUCCCCCAUGUACACUGGGGAAAGACUUAAUGAGAAACGUAACAGACAACACCCUAAUCAAGUCAUAAAUAUCAACAUCAGCAUAAACUGGACCAGCCAACAUCAUCAUGCCUGUGGGCCACAGCCUCCUGUCUGUGGACCAGAUGGGACUCCAAGGAAACACCACACAAACCAAAAUGGCCCUUCAAGAAAUCCCAUCCGUCACGACAGGUGUGAAAAGGCUGAGGAACACUCUGUAUUAAAGGAAACUAGAGAUCUUAAAGUGAAUGCAAAUGGUUCCUGAACAGGAAUAAAAGAAUAACAUAAAGGAUGUUUAUAUGAACAAUCGGGGAAACCUGAACGAGGUCUGUAGAUUUCAACCCUGCAUCUUAUUAAGGGUAAAUAUCCUGACUUUGGUAACUUUAUUAUGAUAUGUAAGUGAGUAACCCUGUUUUUAGUCAAUAGACUCUGAGGUAUUUAGGAGUAAAGGGACUUGAUAUCUACAAAUGAGUCUCAAAUGGUCCAAAGAAUCAUGGUGUGUGUACAUAUAAAUGUAUAUAUGUGCAUAUAUGUAUCUCUAUAUAUGUACAGGACAAUGGAAAUGACUUAAAAUGUGGCAGAGAUAUUAACAAUUGGGGAAUCAGGGUAAAGAAUAUAUGAGAGUUCUUUGCUCUAUUACUGCAACUUCUCUAUACAUUUGAAAUUUUUUCAAAAUAAAAGUUUAAAGAAACAUA